rnacentral:rRNA from 1 species
UACGUAGGGUGCAAGCGUUGUCCGGAAUUAUUGGGCGUAAAGAGCUCGUAGGCGGCCGGUUGCGUCUGCUGUGAAAUCCCGGGGCUUAACCCCGGGCGUGCAGUGGAUACGGGCCGGCUGGAGGCAGGCAGGGGAGAAUGGAAUUCCCGGUGUAGCGGUGAAAUGCGCAGAUAUCGGGAGGAACACCGGUGGCGAAGGCGGUUCUCUGGGCCUGUACUGACGCUGAGGAGCGAAAGCGUGGGGAGCGAACAGG